rnacentral:rRNA from 1 species
AUUGAACGCUGGCGGCAGGCCUAACACAUGCAAGUCGAGCGGAUGAAGGGAGCUUGCUCCUGGAUUCAGCGGCGGACGGGUGAGUAAUGCCUAGGAAUCUGCCUGGUAGUGGGGGAUAACGUCCGGAAACGGGCGCUAAUACCGCAUACGUCCUGAGGGAGAAAGUGGGGGAUCUUCGGACCUCACGCUAUCAGAUGAGCCUAGGUCGGAUUAGCUAGUUGGUGGGGUAAAGGCCUACCAAGGCGACGAUCCGUAACUGGUCUGAGAGGAUGAUCAGUCACACUGGAACUGAGACACGUUCCAGACUCCUACGGGAGGCAGCAGUGGGGAAUAUUGGACAAUGGGCGAAAGCCUGAUCCAGCCAUGCCGCGUGUGUGAAGAAGGGCUUCGGAUUGUAAAGCACUUUAAGUUGGGAGGAAGGGCAGUAAGUUAAUACCUUGCUGUUUUGACGUUACCAACAGAAUAAGCACCGGCUAACUUCGU